rnacentral:tRNA from 1 species
AAAGUCUUAGUUAACUUAUAACAUUAAUUUGUCAAUUUAAAAUUACUAUUAAAUAGUAGACUUUU